rnacentral:rRNA from 1 species
CAAGGAUUCCCUUAGUAACUGCGAGUGAACAGGGAUGAGCCCAGCACCGAAGCCUGUGGUCAUUUGAUCACUAGGCAAUGUGGUGUUUAGGUUAUCUCGCAGAGGCACUGCUCCACCCUAAGUCCAAAAAUGAGUACGGUAGUACGGACAUGGCCCAAAGAGGGUGAAAGGCCCGUGGGGGUGGAGAUCAGGCAGGCCAGUGCUUCUCUGAGCAAACCUUUGAGUCGGGUUGUUUGAGAUUGCAGCCCAAAGUGGGUGGUAAACUCCAUCCAAGGCUAAAUACGUGCACGAGUCCGAUAGCGAACAAGUACCGUGAGGGAACGUUGAAAAGUACUUUGAAGAGAGAGUAAACAGUGCGUGAAACCGCUCAGAGGUAAACGGGUGGAGUUGAACUGCGAACCCUGAGAAUUCAACUGGUGAGUGUGGUAUGAGCUUGGCAUGAUGGUUGGCUCUGCGGGUCUGCUUAGCUGCAGGUCUUCGCCUUCUGGUGGAGAUGCGCGAUACACUUGCCAAGUGUUGCGCGCUCGUUGAGUUACUCGGACAUGCUUGCCAGUGCACUUUCUCGGGGUGUUCACCACGACCGGCGCCGCUACUUGUCCAGUAUGGUUAAACCGGUCUUGCUUGGUCCUUGUGGCUUUGCUUGAUCGGGACGGCAGGUAACUCGUUGACUUGUGUGUUGGCCUCGGUUGACAUGCGCUUGGUUUUCGAGUGUAAUCAGCUGACUGUAUUGGUGCUAUGUGGUGCGUCGGAGACGGCGGCUUGUGGUGUGUGCCUGCGUGCCUAUUUGCUGACGGAACCGGGUUUGGUUGUUAUGUUGCCUGUUCUGCAGGCCUGGUGAUGGCUCGGUUUCGCUUGGUGGAUGGGAGCGUGUGUGACACUUAUCAGGGCCUAUAGUCUGUGGUGUUGUGGUAGACUAUCCACCUGACCCGUCUUGAAACACGGACCAAGGAGAGUAACAUGUGCGCGAGUCAUGGGGUGUUACGAAACCCAAAGGCGAAGUGAAAGUAAAGACUUGACUUGUUCGAGUUGAGGUGAGAUCCUGUCGUUUCUCAUGCGCGGUACUUCCAAGCAUUCGAGCGAUGGGCGCAUCACCGGCCCGUCCCAUGGUGUGGUCACUGUCUUCGGAUUGGUGCGUCACCGGGGCGGAGCAUGAGCGCACAUGUUGAGACCCGAAAGAUGGUGAACUAUGCUUGCGCAGGUUGAAGCCAGAGGAAACUCUGGUGGAGGACCGUAGCGAUUCUGACGUGCAAAUCGAUCGUCAAACGUGAGUAUAGGGGCGAAAGACUAAUCGAACCAUCUAGUAGCUGGUUCCCUCCGAAGUUUCCCUCAGGAUAGCUGGCAUUCUGAUAUAUAAACAGUUUUAUCCGGUAAAGCGAAUGAUUAGAGGCAUUGGGGGUGAAAUGCCCUCAACCUAUUCUCAAACUUUAAAUGGGUGAGAUGCUUGACUCGCUCAAACGGAGUCUGGCCUUGAAUGUGAGUGCCAAGUGGGCCAUUUUUGGUAAGCAGAACUGGCGCUGUGGGAUGAACCAAACGUUCGGUUAAGGUGCCUAACGCGAUGCUCAUCAGAUACCACAAAAGGUGUUGGUUGGUCUAGACAUGCAGGACGGUGGCCAUGGAAGUCUGGAAUCCGCUAAGGAGUGUGUAAG